rnacentral:rRNA from 1 species
GACGAACGCUGGCGGCGUGCUUAACACAUGCAAGUCGAACGGAAAGGCCCUGCUUGCAGGGUACUCGAGUGGCGAACGGGUGAGUAACACGUGGGUGAUCUGCCCUGCACUUCGGGAUAAGCCUGGGAAACUGGGUCUAAUACCGGAUAGGAGCCAUUUUUAGUGUGAUGGUUGGAAAGUUUUUUCGGUGUAGGAUGAGCUCGCGGCCUAUCAGCUUGUUGGUGGGGUAAUGGCCUACCAAGGCGGCGACGGGUAGCCGGCCUGAGAGGGUGGACGGCCACAUUGGGACUGAGAUACGGCCCAGACUCCUACGGGAGGCAGCAGGGGGGAAUAUUGCACAAUGGGCGCAAGCCUGAUGCAGCGACGCCGCGGGGGGGAUGACGGCCUUCGGGUUGGAAACUCCUUUCGCUAGGGACGAAGCUUUUUGUGACGGUACCUAGAUAAGAAGCACCGGCUAACUACGUG